rnacentral:rRNA from 1 species
GAUGAACGCUGACGGCGUGCCUAAUACAUGCAAGUCGAGCGAACGGACGAGAAGCUUGCUUCUCUGAUGUUAGCGGCGGACGGGUGAGUAACACGUGGAUAACCUACCUAUAAGACUGGGAUAACUUCGGGAAACCGGAGCUAAUACCGGAUAAUAUUUUGAACCGCAUGGUUCAAAAGUGAAAGACGGUCUUGCUGUCACUUAUAGAUGGAUCCGCGCUGCAUUAGCUAGUUGGUAAGGUAACGGCUUACCAAGGCAACGAUGCAUAGCCGACCUGAGAGGGUGAUCGGCCACACUGGAACUGAGACACGGUCCAGACUCCUACGGGAGGCAGCAGUAGGGAAUCUUCCGCAAUGGGCGAAAGCCUGACGGAGCAACGCCGCGUGAGUGAUGAAGGUCUUCGGAUCGUAAAACUCUGUUAUUAGGGAAGAACAUAUGUGUAAGUAACUGUGCACAUCUUGACGGUACCUAAUCAGAAAGCCACGGCUAACUACGUGCCAGCAGCCGCGGUAAUACGUAGGUGGCAAGCGUUAUCCGGAAUUAUUGGGCGUAAAGCGCGCGUAGGCGGUUUUUUAAGUCUGAUGUGAAAGCCCACGGCUCAACCGUGGAGGGUCAUUGGAAACUGGAAAACUUGAGUGCAGAAGAGGAAAGUGGAAUUCCAUGUGUAGCGGUGAAAUGCGCAGAGAUAUGGAGGAACACCAGUGGCGAAGGCGACUUUCUGGUCUGUAACUGACGCUGAUGUGCGAAAGCGUGGGGAUCAAACAGGAUUAGAUACCCUGGUAGUCCACGCCGUAAACGAUGAGUGCUAAGUGUUAGGGGGUUUCCGCCCCUUAGUGCUGCAGCUAACGCAUUAAGCACUCCGCCUGGGGAGUACGACCGCAAGGUUGAAACUCAAAGGAAUUGACGGGGACCCGCACAAGCGGUGGAGCAUGUGGUUUAAUUCGAAGCAACGCGAAGAACCUUACCAAAUCUUGACAUCCUUUGACAACUCUAGAGAUAGAGCCUUCCCCUUCGGGGGACAAAGUGACAGGUGGUGCAUGGUUGUCGUCAGCUCGUGUCGUGAGAUGUUGGGUUAAGUCCCGCAACGAGCGCAACCCUUAAGCUUAGUUGCCAUCAUUAAGUUGGGCACUCUAAGUUGACUGCCGGUGACAAACCGGAGGAAGGUGGGGAUGACGUCAAAUCAUCAUGCCCCUUAUGAUUUGGGCUACACACGUGCUACAAUGGACAAUACAAAGGGCAGCGAAACCGCGAGGUCAAGCAAAUCCCAUAAAGUUGUUCUCAGUUCGGAUUGUAGUCUGCAACUCGACUACAUGAAGCUGGAAUCGCUAGUAAUCGUAGAUCAGCAUGCUACGGUGAAUACGUUCCCGGGUCU